rnacentral:lncRNA from 1 species
GGAGUCCACUAAGCAAGCUAAAGCUCUUAGCUCACUCCAGUAAAACGUUCUAAACAGAGUCUUUAUGCAGCUGAAAAUGCAUAUAAAGGACCCUCUGCCUCCUGGUAAUAUCAAGAGAAAACAGAGGCAGUCAGAAACAUUAAAGUCGUCGUAUUGUUGGCAAUGUACUGCCAUGAAUAAGAAUGAAGACACACCUUAAAACUGUAAUGUAUAGGACAAAGCUCUCCUUUCCUACAAUCGUUUUUCAUAAAAUUAUUUUAUACAUUCAUCUCAGUAUUAUACUCUCACUAUGUAUAGUUUCCUGGAGUGGCUUGUUUUGCUUUCAUCAAUAUUUUAAUAAUUUACAUGGGUGAGGCCUCUUUUCAGGAAGUUUUUAAAGACUAACAGUGAGUUUGAUCCCUCAGAGCUUUGUAUUGAGCUGUUUACUGAUGAAAGAAAUCACUGGAAGGUAAAAGAAAACUGACCUGUUCUGUCAGAUAGCAAAUUUCAUUGACAAAGAAUCCAGAGAAAUGCAGAAAAGCUAUACUGAAAAUAACAUUUAUGUUUCUGGCUGCAAAAAUAUGUACUAUUUCAAAGUGAAUAAUGAAUUGUAUCUGAGGCACUUAGACGUGAUUCCUACCCUUUGGAAUGUCUAUUUUAGAGUUUGUUGGUGGUAAAGGACAGCAAUAUGGAAGAGUGUUCAGAAGCAUGGACUCUGAAGAUAAAAUUGUAGAAAAGUUUUAAUAAUAUAAUGUAAAUACUUAGUAUAGUGCUUGGCACAUAAUAAAUAAUCAAAAAUUACAUGCUAUGAUAAUAAUUCUUAUUAUAAUAAUUAUUGUUAUUACCACCACUCCUAAUUUUACUACCAAUAGCACGAUGAGUUUAAUUUGGUAGGGAACAUAUUAGAGCCAAAAUAUUCUUUUUCUCCAACUUUGUUGUCAUAUUUGCACUUGGGAAUUUUCCAUGGAUCUGUUUUGUAUAUUGUCCCAACUAAUGUCAUCUGACCCAACAUACCCAAUGAUAGCUGGUCCCUGACUUUUAUAGUUAUAAACUAGAUUCUUUUGUUUGAGAUUAGUGGGAUUAGAGCACUAUAUUUCAGGAAAUGUAGAGAAGUAAGUAUAGAAGUUAAUAUUAAUUUAACUGAUACUUUUCCUACUCAUACAUAUAAUUACCUUUGUUGGAAGAGACAUUAGAGCCACCACCCAUAGUUACCCCUCAAGAAAGGAGGUUCAAAUUAUGCAUACUUAGUUGUUCCAAGUCUAGUUUAGUGUAGCAGAUAAGAAUUUCACACCAUAAACUAAAAUGUGAAAAUAAUAUGACUUUGUAGUUUAGUUUAUGUUUUAAAGCUCUAAUAGGAUAAUAGAUUUUAUUCUGUUGAGGUUCCCAAUUUUCAAAGAGUCAUGUCUAAUUUUCAGAGUUGUUAUAUAGUGCCAAGUCAUUGUUGGAGGCAGGGAACGCUUGAAUCAUCUGUUCACUCAGGCACUGGCCAAUGCCAUAAUUAUCCAGUUGUGUUCUAUUAAGUCAACAAUACCAAUUGUCUUUCAAAGUUUUCCCUGGUCUUCUCUGCAUGGCUUCACAGGAAUUGGAACAGUCUCCAGUCGUUCUGUGCAAUGCUCUAGGACUACCAAAUGAUUUAUUUGGGUGUUUGAGAUAUAAAAGCUAGUACGUGUUGUUUUUAUUUUUUGGUUUUCAACCUAUUGCAUACUUC